rnacentral:lncRNA from 1 species
AGCAGAUGUUUCUCUGUAACUGUAACUUUGACAUAAGUGCUAUGAUUUACAUCAUUACAUAUAUGUGAUUUGUGGGAACACUCAAGUUUAGGUGAAACAGGUUAAAAGUAAGCAAGUACAUAUGCAAGUAAAUGAAGUCCUUUGAAUCUGCAUUGUAAACCUACAUAGGGGUGAAGCCCAUGUGAGAAGUGGAGGAGACUGAAGAACUUUGUUGUUUCCAGUUUGUCCAUCUGCUUUGAAGACUGUUCAGGCACUGCAGGAUCUGUGGACAGAACAGAUAACCUGGGAGAAAUAUGGUGCAAAAGUACAAGCCAGUGCCAAUGAACCUGGACAGUUGGCAAAUCACGUCCUUAACUCAGGUGUGGUUUAGAGGAGAGACAGCUUGCAGAGAACUGAAGAAGAUGGAAAAGAAGUGCCUGCUGAGAGUCGUGCCAUUUGUUGGGGACAGCCAGAGGAUGUUGACUCUACUGCCUUCCCUGCAGGAGUCUUCUGUGCAUUGAUGCUCACUGCAGCUGUGUCCGAUUUCCUGAAUGGUGUGCAAGGUAAACAUGCAAUCAAUUAGCUGCACUGCACGAGUGAUGUGAUCACAUAUGCUAGGAUUCAUUGAUUUUAAAAGCAGAAAGGGCUGUUG